UACGAAGGGGGCUAGCGUUGCUCGGAAUCACUGGGCGUAAAGGGUGCGUAGGCGGGUCUUUAAGUCAGGGGUGAAAUCCUGGAGCUCAACUCCAGAACUGCCUUUGAUACUGAGGAUCUUGAGUUCGGGAGAGGUGAGUGGAACUGCGAGUGUAGAGGUGAAAUUCGUAGAUAUUCGCAAGAACACCAGUGGCGAAGGCGGCUCACUGGCCCGAUACUGACGCUGAGGCACGAAAAGCGUGGGGAGCAAACAGG
rnacentral:rRNA from 1 species